UGGGGAAUAUUGGACAAUGGGCGCAAGCCUGAUCCAGCCAUGCCGCGUGGAUGAUGAAGGCCCUAGGGUUGUAAAGUCCUUUUCGACGGGGAAGAUAAUGACGGUACCCGUAGAAGAAGCCCCGGCUAACUUCGUGCCAGCAGCCGCGGUAAUACGAAGGGGGCUAGCGUUGCUCGGAAUCACUGGGCGUAAAGGGCGCGUAGGCGGCAAUUCAAGUCAUCUGUGAAAUCUCCGGGCUUAACUCGGAACGGUCAGAUGAUACUGCUUUGCUAGAGUGCAGAAGGGGCAAUCGGAAUUCUUGGUGUAGCGGUGAAAUGCGUAGAUAUCAAGAGGAACACCUGAGGUGAAGACGGGUUGCUGGGCUGACACUGACGCUGAGGCGCGAAAGCCAGGGGAGCAAACGGGAUUAGAUACCCAAGUAGUCCCUGAGCGGGCUGGCAAGGCGCAU
rnacentral:rRNA from 1 species